ensembl:lncRNA
ACCUAAGACAGCCUUCAACAGGAAGACUUUUAGCAUUUGACAAGUCCUAAUUAGGUUUGUCAAAAUUGAAAAGUGGUGCAGGCCAGCGGGCACUGUCUCUUGCUGGCCAGUGGGCCUCAGAGUUGGGCUAUGAAAGGGGCGGCUUCUCUGCUCACUCCUCAUCUGAGAGCCCUGCUGGGGUCUGGAGAAAUCAAAGGUGCCCCCUCAGUGACAGACACCUUGCAGCAAAGCCUCUAGCUCUGCUCCUUGGGUUCAAGGACAAAGCUGUGGGAAAGGGAAACAGGAGGGAGCCAAGGCUGAAAGACUAAAAGUCCUGGCGGUUACCUGAGGGAGAUAGCACUCUGGGGUCUAGCCCCCUCUUCUCAGCCCACCUGCACUUUUCUGAAGCAAGCUGAGAGCCCACCUCCUUUUCCUCUGCCUGGAAAGUUCUUUCACCAGGGCCUGGGUGAGUUGGAGCCAACCAUCAGCACAACCCCUUCCACGUAGCACCAGCUGAAGGUUCUCAAGGACGGCAGAGUUUCUCACUGGCCUGCAGAGGACCUGGAGCCAAGGUAGAGGGGAGUGGACGCCCAUCUCCUGUCAAUUCUGAGCCUAGGUCCCCUCCUUCCCUCUCCAUCCUCAGCCUCAUCCUGAGGCAAAUCUGAGCUGUGUACUUUGGAGCCAGCGUUUUCCGCACCAGCGCCGCCGAAGUUCCCGCGUCUCGAUCAGCUCCUCGCAGAGCACUCUUGUCUGGCAACUUGUGAUUCCUGAAAUCUGGGUUUCUUGGUCCACCUGGGAAAGACAAGGAGGUGGUGGGUUGAACACUGAGUCCCUGCUGCCCCUCGGUCCGGCUGGGCGACAGCGAUCACGCGGCCACCGUGCUCAACCCACAGCUGCAGCCGCGGUGGCGCCGUGGUAGGCCCAGGCUUGGAGCUCGCAUUUCCUGGGCCGACAUAGCUUAACGGGGUGGCCACCAACUCCGGGGCCUCAGCACCCAAGCCAGAGGGCACAAAGGUCCAUGGGUCAGAUCUGAGAGGCUGGGAAAGCGCCCGUGUCACAAGCAAUGUGAGUUCCGCGCUGCCGAGAACCGGGACUGCGAACUUUUCGCCGGCCUCUGAGUGCAGCUCGAAAAAUUCCGAGCCGUACAGACCGCCAGGACGUCAGGGCCAGGUCACCAAGUACACCAAGGGCUCGGUUCGGGUUCACAAGGACAGGUGACCAGACCCUUGAUUUUUCCACCUGCAACUAAGAACUUUAACCACUGGCCCUGAAUCUCAAUGUGCGCGGGUUGUUUAAACGCUGAAAUUCACCGCUUCCACUUCCGAGGAGCCGGCGGCCCAGAACGAUUCUUGGACACGCAAACUGGAAGACGAGAAACGUCCCUUCCAUCCAGAAUGAAAAGGGUCCCAGAUUCAAAGAGGCAGCCCUUCUGGGUGUCCCAUGGGGAGUUUCUAUUCCCAGGGGAGGGGAAGCGUGGCCCCCGCCCAACCAUCCUAACAGGCAGCGGAUCCAGCCUCGCGCCGCCCCUGGCCGUUGGGAAGCUGAAGAGGAGGUUAGCGGGCCCUGCCUGCUGCUCGGUCAGGUGCAGACCUUUCCGGAGCGCCCCAGUUGGCACGUCUAAUUUGGGCGCAGGCAGGCUGCCCCAAGCUUGAGUGCCGGCCCUUUCAAAAAGCACCCACAGCGGGCAACUUUCCCUUCCCUCCAGUUUCACAAACCCGAAAUUCCAAGCAGAAGUCACGCUUUCUCAGGAUAACCAGAGGAAAAUACUGCCCCCCACCCCCUUCUUUCCGUUCUUUAUUAAUUUCAUGGUGAGUUUUAGGAGAAGUGGCUUAAGGUCUGAGCGAUCCUCCUUUGGUCUCAACGCCUGCCUUUUUUGCUCCCUCUAUCUAGGAGCCUCCGGUCAGGAGCUACUCCGACCCCACCCCAGGAGUUUCAGAGUGUCCAUGGCUUGGCCCGUUGUUCUAGCCCGGUCUAGCUUCUGUUCUUCCUUGACCUCUCUGACAGUGACUGCAAUCCGGGGUCCUGGGUCUUCUCUCCUAAGGCUCCCACAUGAACAUCCAUUAUGUUCUCCCUGGCUCUGUGACACCCGUUCUCCCCAGCCAUGUCCACACUGUAAACUGACUGAAGUUUUCCUGUUUCUUUUUUUAAAAAAGGUUUAAGUAAAUGGGCAUUUGGGAUUCCUUGGUGGCUCACAUGGUAAAGUGCCUGCAAUGCAGGAGACCCGAGUUCGAUCUCUGAGUCGGGAAGAUUCCCUGGAGAAGGAAAUGGCAACCCAUUCCAGUAUUCUUGCCUGGAAAAUUCCAUGGAAGGAGGAGCCUGGCAGGCUACGUCCAUAGGUCUCAAAGAGUCAGACAUGACUGACUUCAUUUCAAACAGGCAUUUAUCAAGAUUAUUCGGGCCACCAAGAAGCAUCCUGAUCCCACGCAAAUGAAAUCCCCAGACAACUGAGAAAACAGUAAUAUUAAUUGAAGCAGCUACAUAUAAGAGAUUAGGAUAUAAAUGGCAUAUAAAAGUCCAGAAUCUAUUAAGAGCUGGAAAUAGAAACACAGGACACACACGUCUACAUAUACUUCUUAGAUUCAAUGUUAGAUUCAAGGUCAGAGUCGAGAAGGGAUCAAUCUAAUCCAAUUUCCUCAGUUUAUGAAUAAGGAAACAGGCCCAGAGAAAGCCAGGGACCCUCGCAAGGUCGCAUAGCAGAGGAGUCCAAAGAAUCCAAUUCUGACUCCCAACGCACUGCCCAUCCUACUCCGGCUCAGGUGCUUGCUGCUUUAGGAAUCACAGAGCAAACAGCUUUAGCUCUCACGAGGCGAGGGGAUUCCGUGAAGGAUCCCCUUCCUGCAAUCUUGUCUCUCCCCCGUCUGGUGUGGACUGUCCGGAAACGGUCUGAAUCUCCCGGCCCUGGGAGUUCAGGUCAAACCUCUCCCCCAUAGCCUCCUCUACCCGAGCAACACAGGUGCAGUUCUCCUAGAGCACCGAUAGGUGGCGCGUUCCUCACAGGAAAACCAGCCGGGAAUCCUCCCCCGCUCCUAGGACCCUGCUCCCUGCCUUAAGAACCCGCCUAGGGUCCCUCUUGAAAGAAAUAGGGUAGAAAGGGGUCCAGCAGAGGGGCUCAGGCUCGUGCCGGAGGUUUGAAAAGACCCUAGAAACCUUGAUUCUAGUCUUUCGGCUCAGAGUGACCACACUUUUAAGAGGCUAAAGAGCUUCUAGCGCAAAGGGCAAGGCUCUGCUCACUGGCCCAGAGACAACACCGGGACUUACCAGGGUCACCCCUAGGGGGCGUUAUCUCCCCUCAACAAGCGCGUCCACGAACCCGCUCCUUCACGCAAGCUGGGCUGCUGCCUUUCUCUACCACUAUCCCCAGGCCCCAUUCUUCCGCCUAUUUUUUUUUUUUUUCCAAAUAUUG